rnacentral:lncRNA from 1 species
ACAGUGGCAAGUCAUAGUGAUAGCCUGUAUCAUGGGUAGAUGAGAUGAAACUGACCUUUGUGGUCUCCUCCCAUUCUCCCAUUCUAAUCAUGAGAAAAAUGUCAGACAAACCACACUUGAGAGACAUUCUGCAAAUUAUCUAACCAGUACUUCUCAAAACUGUCAAGGUCAUUAAAAAGGAAAGUUCGAGGAAUGGUCACAGCCAAGAGAAGUCUAAGGAGACAUAGUAACCAAGUGUAAUAUGGUAUUGGGGAUGGCAUUCUGAAACAGAAAAGGGACAUUAUGUAAAAACUAAGGAAAUCUGAACAAAGUAUAGACUUUAGGCAACAAUAAUGUAUCAGUAUUGGUUUGAUGACAAAUAUACUAUUCUAAUGUAAGGAGUUAAAAAUAGAGUAGACUAGACAUGAAAUGUAUGGCAUUUUUCUGUGCUGUCUUCAUAACAGUUCUACAAAUCUACAACUAUUAUAAAAUUGUUGUUGUUGUUGUUGUUGUUGUUGUUUUUAAUGAAAUCACUUUGCAAAGCAUCUAUUGCCCAAGCAAGUUACCUAGAGAUGCAGUCACAUGACUAUCCAAGCUCCAGCUCUUGGAUUCAGAUAUAACCAGCCUUUUUCCACUCUUCUCGUUGACUCUCCCUCCUGGAUACCAUGACUUGAAUGUAACUGGCCUCAAAGUUCCUGGGACCCUUGGCUCAUACUUUGUGUUUUCCAUAGUCUGAUGUCCUUAACAUUAAUGAUGUAAUUAGACACUUAGGCCCAGUAAAAUGUGCAUUUCCCAUAAAUAACUCCCACAUCAUUCUUUAUUUGUGGCUCUGAUAUCACAACAACUUCAUUUUCACUCAAACAAGAUUCAGCUCAAACUAUUGAGUACAAUUUGAUCUAGCUUUCUGCUGCCCUGCUUCAGUUGGAAAUACCAGGACUGACCUUUUAAAGCUCAGAUAAGAAUACUUGUCUGUUUUGAAAAGCUUUGGGUCAUGGAAGGAGUGUCCAUAUAACUUUUUUUGCUUCUUACAACCACUCAUGUAAUGGACAGCAUUCUAAUUCAGUAGUAAGAGGGGCUGGCUGCCCAACAGUUUCCCCCACGGUAUCCCAUGAUGCAGCGUGCCAUGCACAUGUGUGUGUGUAUGUGCCAUGUGUGCACACACAUACACACACAUAAUGACAACUUCUGGUUAUUAUCUUUUCUUAACCUUAAUGCCAGUCAGAGAAAAUGCCUCCAUCUUAAUCUGCCGAACUCAGCAGCAUGACAUGCCGGAAGUAUUCUUGUGAGAUGGGUCACAGGUAAUGUAAUUACAAAAACAAAUGCCUAUGUUGAUGAUUUACUUUUCAAAUAGGAAGUAAUGUAGAUUUAAGAUCAUCCCUAUGUAAUCCAGCAUUAAGUGCAUCGGAAUAGAGGGGAGGCCAAGUACAGUAGCAACCAACCUUACUAUGGACAAGUCAAGCACACCAUGAUAAUUCAGAGGAAUUUUAUUUAAAAAUCUUGCCUUCAACUUUGAUUCAUAGCUUCUAAUUUAUGAAAAAUUCCACAGUGCAUCAGGGGUUGUGCUCACCCAUCUGUUCCACAGACAUAGAUGCUGCACUCUGGGCAUUUGGAGCUUUCCCAUGUGGCUGCUUCUCUCAUGAUCACUCUAGAAAAAACUCUCCCCAUUAGAGAGCUCUCUCUCCUCUUCGGCCAAACAUUCACAUGACAUACAGACUUUUGUCUUCCUCCUCUUUUCCCUUCAACCAGCAUGGAUCAUCAGUUGUUUCCUUGUGCUCUCUCAGGGAGAGUGUGUGUAUGUGUGUAUGAUAGAGGUUGAGUGGAUGACAGAUUGGCUAUUUGUACAGAACACGCAUUUCACACACCCAAGUUGGGCCUUGGUAUGAUACUGAACGUCUCUGGAACUUGCCUAGCCUUGAGGUGCACCAGUAAAUGCUGCGUUUUGAUGUCUCUACCUAUGGUAAGUGCUAUUCCCCAGGAGAAGGGGAUCCUCCCUUCCAUAUGUGAAUGAACACUGCUCUUCCUUGAUUCUAACAUGCUUUCUGAGAAGGCAGAAAGGAAGUAGCAGGGCCUCAGCAAUCGUGCUUCAUCCCUGGCAUCCCCAUCAGAGCAGGCCCUGCCUGGGAACAUCAUCCACCGUGUAUAUUACAGAGAAAAGUUCAAGAAUUCGUGUGCUAGGUCCCUAUAUUGAGAUGCAAUUGUUUUUCCUUCUGCACAGAAGAGAUCUAUGCUUGAAGGGCUCCAUUACUGAGAUGGAGAUACCUCAUUCUUCCCUCUGUACCUCAUCUUCUCUUCCUCACCAGCUUGUUUCUUCUCCAUCCACAGAGAGCCCAUGCACUCUGCACUGUCCUUGUGACUGAAUAUAAUUUCUGUGAUGCAUCUACCCUGACUGUAGCCAUUAGUGUUACCAUCGAUCGCUCUUGCAGAAGUUCUUCUGUCGAUUUCCCUUUAUCUCAUCACAUUCUCUGCUCUUCCUGGACUUUGCAUUCAGUUCUACUUACUCCUGUGUGGAUAACUGACCCAAUACAGUGCAGUUCAGUCUGCAUCUUCUGGCUUUGUUUGUUUUCUGCCAGGUGCCAAAGGGUUGAUUUUUAUUUACCAUCCAAAACAUUUUCGUCUGGGCUGCUUCUGUGGCUGACAUAAUUCCAAAAGCUUUAGGGUGACAUUGUCAUCUCCCUUUCCAGAUCUGAUCUUCUAUCUGGAAAUUCAAAAAUACUAACUUUCUUGGUUUAUAUCUGGAAGGGAGGUCUUUAAAUGUUACCUGAGCGGAAAACCUUUAAGUUUUUCUUGGCCGCUGGCAUUAUAUCCUAGGUGAGCAUAUCAUGUAGCCUAGGCACAGAGCAAGGCACAGAAGAAGUAAGACAUAAGACAGUUAAGAUUUUUAGAGGGAAGGGGGUAGUUGUGAGCACUUAAAAAUAUUAUUAGUCAAAUGAACAAAAUAGAGUAUGGCAAGUGCUCUAGAGUCCCAUGAAUUUGACCAAGAAUUAUAAUGCCUCUAGUAGAAUAGUCUGUAGGGUACAAAAUAGUCAUGAAGCUUCUUUCCUACACAGUGACAGGAAAUACAACUCCAGAAACACAUAGCUGCAAAUACCCUUGGUCUAAGAACAAACCAUGUUUCUUUACCAUUGGCUAAUGAUCACAUACCUUGAAGGCUAACAAGAUCGUAAGAAUAGGUGAAGAUGAGAUUUUAGAUUAAUUGUGUAUUUAUUUAGCUAUCUGUCUUUGUCUUCCAGCUUUCAUUUUCCUUAUCCUCAUGGGCUUGAGAAAUGAUCCCUGAGAUCCCUUCAGAUUUUCAGAUGUUAUGAUUCUAAGGAACACUUUGUCAGGGCUGCUCACAAUUUGUAAAGAUCAUUAGUUACUCAAAAACCAGAAGAAUGAUCUGAUCUGAGUUUAACCUCUACUCUCUGUACUCUCUGCCCUGAUCAGCCCUCGAAGAUGUGUCAGUGUAUAGUGAAUGGGCAGUAGAAAGCCAUCAGGAGAGGGGAUCCCUGGGUGGCGCAGCGGUUUGGCGCCUGCCUUUGGCCCAGGGCGCGAUCCUGGAGACCCGGGAUCGAAUCCCACAUCGGGCUCCUGGUGCAUGGAGCCUGCUUCUCCCUCUGCCUAUGUCUCUGCCUCUCUCUCUCUCUCUGUGUGUGACUAUCAUAAAUAAAAAAAAAAAAAUUAAAAAUAAAUAAAUAAAUAAAAGCCAUCAGGAGGAAGGGAGAAGAAACAAAUCAGACAUCUGCCAAAAGCAAACUCAAGUCCAACCACAAUAUUUAACUGGGGUGAGAAUAGAAAUAACCCAUAGCCCAACCCCAGUUUCCUUCCCACUUCCCCUGACAAGUAUGUGCACCCUAACUUGCACUUCCAAGCUCUGUCCACCAUCACAUUUUCCACCCCCACCCCCUUCAUUGUGUCUCUUGCUUAGAUUUAUGCAUGCCAGUGGCAUUGUCUACCCUAAAGCAGAGAGACCUGAUACAGAAUCCUAACAAAAGACCUUCAUAUGCUGGAACCAUGUGGACAGGAAACUCUAAGGUCCAGGUACCAGAAGUAUGCUCGAAAAGGAGAGGCUAAGGGUCCAGUAGCAUUACCUCUUAGCCUCUGGACUGCUCACCGCAAGGUGAGCAAUGCAGCUAAGGGAGAACUGAAGAAAGGGCCUCCAAACGACUGGGCCCAGGUCUUAGGUUGAAUUGUAUACUAGUAAUAAAAAAAAGUGGAAAUGUAAUUGUUCAAACAUUAUCCCGGUCAUGCCAUGUGUUGAACAGUA